ACCCAGUCAUUUAUUACGAGUGCUUUGUUAUGUUACAUUUUUGACGUGUGUUUAAGCAUAUUUUUGCAUAAAAAAGAAACUGGACGUUUUCAAAAUAAGGUCAAAAUGAACUUAUCAUUUAUUUUUAUGCUCUGCUUACUUAUUGUGGUGACUCUAAGCGAGGCUAAGCCAAGACCUAGCAGAGGCAGGAUGGGACGGUAUCGUUUUCCGUUUAGUGGAGAGAGUAAAGAGAGCGAAGAAAACUCCAACGAAGCACCGUGUGAUGGAUGUACCAUAAACAAUAUCGGAAACGGCUACAAAAAUCAUAACGAAGUUCACAUUUUAUACGAGAGACACUUACCGAAGCGAAGUACACACGUCUAAAACUAUAUUUCUUUAAUAUAAAUUAUACCAAUUGAAAGCAUUUAUACCAACACAUUAUUGUAUUUGUGUAUUUGAGUCAUACGAGUACUUGAGCAAAACAAUAUAGUCAAGCAAAUUGCUUGAUUGUUUAUAAUAUCGACGUAAUUUUAAUUUUGGCCUCUUUGUUCCCUCAAUAGUUCUGAUAUAUGUUAUAGUUUGACUGUGAAGUUUGAAUAUUAUAUAAAGUGUAAAAAAAAUUAUGAUGAUAUAAACUCACAAAACUUUAGGCACGGUGAGUGAAUACACUUUUAUUGUACACCCAAUCAAAAAGUAGUUACAGAUAUAUAAACAUACGAAACAUAGAGCAGGAGGUUAUUGUCUACAUAAAAACAAAUAAUAAUGAUGCUGCUCAAAACUUAAUUUUAUUCCUAGCCUUAAAAAUAACUUAGAGUUCUAACUUAGUACAGAUCUGUCACAAUAACGAUAAAGAUCUGUCAGAAUAUUGACUAACGUCCAUUUUCAAUAUUCAAUAUAUCCGUUAUUUAUAGAUUUAAGACUUAGCAACGUUGAUAUUGACUAAAAAUAUGCAUAAAACUAUGAACAAAUAACAACUUUACUUUGUUGCUAAGCAACUUUUCAACAGUUUAUACAUUUGAUUGACUAUGAAAAAUGGAUGUCAAUAUGUUACUUUGGUUAGAACGAGAAGAUCUAAGUUUGGCAUUUAAUUUACUAAAUUUUUUACCUAUCAUAUUAUACAUUGAAUAAAUAUAUAAAUGAAAAAUG